GGGUUGUGAGGUUAAGCGACUAAGCGUACACGGUGGAUGCCCUGGCAGUCAGAGGCGAUGAAGGACGUGCUAAUCUGCGAAAAGCGCCGGCGAGGUGAUAUGAACCUUUGACCCGGCGAUGUCCGAAUGGGGAAACCCAGUGUGUUCCGACACACUAUCGUUAACUGAAUACAUAGGUUAACGAGGCGAACCGGGGGAACUGAAACAUCUAAGUACCCCGAGGAAAAGAAAUCAACCGAGAUUCCCCCAGUAGCGGCGAGCGAACGGGGAGCAGCCCAGAGUCUGAAUCAGCUUGUGUGUUAGUGGAAGCGUCUGGAAAGUCGCACGGUACAGGGUGACAGUCCCGUACACGAAAGCACACAGGCUGUGAACUCGAAGAGUAGGGCGGGACACGUGGUAUCCUGUCUGAAUAUGGGGGGACCAUCCUCCAAGGCUAAAUACUCCUGACUGACCGAUAGUGAACCAGUACCGUGAGGGAAAGGCGAAAAGAACCCCGGCGAGGGGAGUGAAAAAGAACCUGAAACCGUGUACGUACAAGCAGUGGGAGCCUCUUUUAUGGGGUGACUGCGUACCUUUUGUAUAAUGGGUCAGCGACUUAUAUUCUGUAGCAAGGUUAACCGUAUAGGGGAGCCGAAGGGAAACCGAGUCUUAACUGGGCGUUAAGUUGCAGGGUAUAGACCCGAAACCCGGUGAUCUAGCCAUGGGCAGGUUGAAGGUUGGGUAACACUAACUGGAGGACCGAACCGACUAAUGUUGAAAAAUUAGCGGAUGACUUGUGGCUGGGGGUGAAAGGCCAAUCAAACCGGGAGAUAGCUGGUUCUCCCCGAAAGCUAUUUAGGUAGCGCCUCGUGAACUCAUCUUCGGGGGUAGAGCACUGUUUCGGCUAGGGGGCCAUCCCGGCUUACCAACCCGAUGCAAACUACGAAUACCGAAGAAUGUUAUCACGGGAGACACACGGCGGGUGCUAACGUCCGUCGUGAAGAGGGAAACAACCCAGACCGCCAGCUAAGGUCCCAAAGUCAUGGUUAAGUGGGAAACGAUGUGGGAAGGCACAGACAGCCAGGAUGUUGGCUUAGAAGCAGCCAUCAUUUAAAGAAAGCGUAAUAGCUCACUGGUCGAGUCGGCCUGCGCGGAAGAUGUAACGGGGCUAAACCAUGCACCGAAGCUGCGGCAGCGACGCUUAUGCGUUGUUGGGUAGGGGAGCGUUCUGUAAGCCGUUGAAGGUGUCCUGUGAGGGGUGCUGGAGGUAUCAGAAGUGCGAAUGCUGACAUAAGUAACGAUAAAGCGGGUGAAAAGCCCGCUCGCCGGAAGACCAAGGGUUCCUGUCCAACGUUAAUCGGGGCAGGGUGAGUCGACCCCUAAGGCGAGGCCGAAAGGCGUAGUCGAUGGGAAACAGGUUAAUAUUCCUGUACUUGGUGUUACUGCGAAGGGGGGACGGAGAAGGCUAUGUUAGCCGGGCGACGGUUGUCCCGGUUUAAGCAUGUAGGCGGAGGUUCCAGGUAAAUCCGGUACCUUAUUAACGCUGAGGUGUGAUGACGAGGCACUACGGUGCUGAAGUAACAAAUGCCCUGCUUCCAGGAAAAGCCUCUAAGCAUCAGGUAACAUCAAAUCGUACCCCAAACCGACACAGGUGGUCAGGUAGAGAAUACCAAGGCGCUUGAGAGAACUCGGGUGAAGGAACUAGGCAAAAUGGUGCCGUAACUUCGGGAGAAGGCACGCUGAUAUGUAGGUGAAGCCCCUGCGGGUGGAGCUGAAAUCAGUCGAAGAUACCAGCUGGCUGCAACUGUUUAUUAAAAACACAGCACUGUGCAAACACGAAAGUGGACGUAUACGGUGUGACGCCUGCCCGGUGCCGGAAGGUUAAUUGAUGGGGUUAGCGGCAACGCGAAGCUCUUGAUCGAAGCCCCGGUAAACGGCGGCCGUAACUAUAACGGUCCUAAGGUAGCGAAAUUCCUUGUCGGGUAAGUUCCGACCUGCACGAAUGGCGUAAUGAUGGCCAGGCUGUCUCCACCCGAGACUCAGUGAAAUUGAACUCGCUGUGAAGAUGCAGUGUACCCGCGGCAAGACGGAAAGACCCCGUGAACCUUUACUAUAGCUUGACACUGAACACUGGUCCUUGAUGUGUAGGAUAGGUGGGAGGCUUUGAAGCGUGGACGCCAGUCUGCGUGGAGCCAACCUUGAAAUACCACCCUUUAAUGGCUGGUGUUCUAACGUAGACCCGUAAUCCGGGUUGCGGACAGUGUCUGGUGGGUAGUUUGACUGGGGCGGUCUCCUCCCAAAGAGUAACGGAGGAGCACGAAGGUUAGCUAAUCCUGGUCGGACAUCAGGAGGUUAGUGCAAUGGCAUAAGCUAGCUUGACUGCGAGAGUGACGGCUCGAGCAGGUGCGAAAGCAGGUCAUAGUGAUCCGGUGGUUCUGAAUGGAAGGGCCAUCGCUCAACGGAUAAAAGGUACUCCGGGGAUAACAGGCUGAUACCGCCCAAGAGUUCAUAUCGACGGCGGUGUUUGGCACCUCGAUGUCGGCUCAUCACAUCCUGGGGCUGAAGUAGGUCCCAAGGGUAUGGCUGUUCGCCAUUUAAAGUGGUACGCGAGCUGGGUUUAGAACGUCGUGAGACAGUUCGGUCCCUAUCUGCCGUGGGCGCUGGAGAAUUGAGGGGGGCUGCUCCUAGUACGAGAGGACCGGAGUGGACGCAUCACUGGUGUUCGGGUUGUCAUGCCAAUGGCACUGCCCGGUAGCUAAAUGCGGAAGAGAUAAGUGCUGAAAGCAUCUAAGCACGAAACUUGCCCCGAGAUGAGUUCUCCCUGAGACUUUAAGUCUCCUGAAGGAACGUUGAAGACUACGACGUUGAUAGGUCGGGUGUGUAAGCGCAGCGAUGCGUUGAGCUAACCGAUACUAAUGAACCGUGAGGCUUAACCUUACAACGCCGAAG
rnacentral:rRNA from 1 species